AGCUCUAUCAGUUAAAAUGCAAAAAAACGUGGACAUGAGAAUUAACUUGAUGCAAAUUCCUGAAAGAGGCACCAAGACUGACUAAUAAAAACCUCAGACAGCUCCACGGCUCAGAAGCGGCUCCUACCUGAUUACAAGGUCAACAAUGAAGACGCUGAACGCAGCUGCGAUGAUACGCCUCUUCAUCAUCCUCGUCAUCACUGUACACAUGGCUCCUGGAGUAAGAAGUGGAAAUACGGGCAGUAAGGUUCCGGGACGAAACAACGAGGCAAACAAACAAAGGACUUCAGCUGAGGUUGAGCUUCACUGUCACACAGUCUGAGAGAACACUGCACACUGACUUUAGGGACUUCAUGCUGGUUUAAUUUAGAGUUAAUAUUUACUACUAAAAGCUCCUUCACAGAAAGUUCCUACAGGACCUGGUUAUGGAUUCACUGCCUGAUGACUGAGACG